CACUCUCAGACGCAGACGCUGAAGAAGAAGAACGACGAAGCAGCACACACACCCACACUACAGAGAGAGGCGGGGUCAUUUCUUUAUCAACCAAACCAAACGCCGUCGUCGUCAGCCAUCAGUAGCCAUGAAGGUGCGUUCCUCUGUGAAGAAGAUGUGUGAGUUUUGUAAGACGGUUAAACGUCGUGGGCGUGUUUAUGUGCUUUGCACAGCCAAUCCCAAGCAUAAGCAAAGACAGGGCAUGUCAACAUUUGCAUACGAAGGCACGGUGUCUUCCAUGUACACAGAGACUAGUGCCAAGCUGGAGAACAGCUCUGGUCACACCGUGCAAGCAGGUCUGGCCUCUCUGAUACCCAAAAAGCACGAACCCUCGAUGCCCUCUAUACCCUCUACGAUACUUGGAUGGAGGGUGGGCCUGGCCUCCCUGCUGUUCAACAAGGCCAAGUAGCUUUGAAAUUUGAAAUGGGAAGAAUGCAAACCUUAUCUCAGUUUUUAGGUUCCUUUCUUUGGUUGUGCUGCCAGAGAUAUAUUCAAAAUGUUAUUAGCUCCUCUCUUUUUCUCUUGGAUUUUAACUUUUAAUCUGCUACUAUAUAUAAUACUUCCAUCUCUCCCUCGCUUUCUGGUGUGUGUGUGUGUGUGUGUUUAGACUUAGCUGUGCUAGAGAUUCUGAUCGUAGCGACCUUACCUGCUCCACAUAUAUAAUUCAGGAAAUGAGAUGGCUCGAAUUGUUAAGGACACUUUAUCUGAUUUCCUGGAAGAGAAUUAGAUGGUAUGAAAGUGAAACGUAAUUUGGA